CGUAAUCAAGCCAACUUUAAUGCAAUCUAAACUGCCAUAAAAAAGCUAUUGGAACACAUGCAAAAGCGAGCGACCAUAACGUAAUCAAACCAACUUUAAUGCAAUCUAAACUGCCAUAAAAAAGCUAUUGGAAUACAUGCAAAAACGAGCGACCAUAACGUAAUCAAACCAACUUUAAUGCAAUCUAAACUGCCAUAAAAAAGCUAUUGCAAAACAUGCAAAAUCGUGAUUCCUUCCAUAUUUUUUUAUUAUGUACUAUGGUACCUAUGUUUAAAAAAUUGCAAGAAACCGUAUUUUUGAAAAUAUGGCAACAUUGGUUGAAAAGUGACAUGACAUUACGGACAGCACAAUCAAAAUGGAAGAUGAAAAUUAAUGUCAAAACAGGAAAUUUUUAAAUAAGAAUUAUAAAAAAAGUAUGCUUUGAAAUUGGUUAAAAAGCAGCAACCGACAUUUCUAAAACAUCAUAAACUUUCCAGAAGAUCCUGCGAAGAAGACAUGAAGUAUAGAUCAGAUUUGUUAAUAGAGGAGUAUGUUCAAAACACUUUUUAGAAAAAGAUAUUGACAGAACUUCACUUUCAUCUGUUCGUUUAAGAGACUGUGCUGUUCCAAUAGCUUAUGUCACACAGAAUCAGCUGAGAGAAGUGGUCUACAAAAAACCAGAAAGGAAACGGAAUAUGUGGCUACGAAAAGCAAAAGAAAGGUUUACAAAGCAAAUGUGACACAUUUUUUUAUAAUAUUUAGGAAUGUCAGUAAAUUACAUUAAAAAAUGUAUGUAAAGAUUUUUUGCAAUAAAAAUGUUUAUAUUUAUCAAGGAUGUAUUAUUUGGUAUGGCCACAUAUCGUCAGUGAUGUGACAAUACCUCCUAUCUGUUUUUUUCAAGAGAUUUGUAAGAUAGACUAAAAACUUGUUUCGGCCACCUCCUGUUUUCAUAUAUUUUUUGACUUGUUUUGCAGUAAAUUCAACUAUCUAUUUACUACAAAAAAGUCAGAAUACGUACGAAAACAGAAAGUGACCUUAAAAAAUGUUUUUCGUCUCCUGCAAACCUCAUGAAAAAACAUAUAGGAGGUAUUGUCACAUUACUGACGAUAUAUUUCAGUGAAUGUCUAAAAAAUAUACUGUGAAUGUUCAAAGAACGUUCGUAGACAUUCAUGGAAUGUUCUAACAAGACAUUCAGUCUAAAAAUAUACUGUGAAUGUCCAAAGAACAUUCAUGGAAUGUUCCAACAAGACAUUCAGUCUAACAAAUAGACUGUGAAUGUCCAAAGAACAUUCGUAGACAUUCAUGGAAUGUUCCAACAGAACAUUCUAAGAAUAUUUAAAAUGCUGACACAGCACUUUCCUGGGACUUUCCAGGGACAUUCGUGUGCAUUUGGGGACAUUCCAGGAAUGUUUUCAAUGUCCUGUGUGUACAUUCUAGGAACAUUCAUGGAAUGUUUUGUGUUAUUAGGGU